rnacentral:rRNA from 1 species
UACGUAGGGUGCGAUCGUUGUCCGGAAUUAUUGGGCAUAAAGAGCUUGUAGGCGGUUUGUCGCGUCUGCUGUGAAAAUCCGGGGCUCAACCCCGGACUUGCAGUGGGUACGGGCAGACUAGAGUGUGGUAGGGGAGACUGGAAUUCCUGGUGUAGCGGUGGAAUGCGCAGAUAUCAGGAGGAACACCAAUAGCGAAGGCAGCUCGCUGGGACGUUACUGACACUGAGGCGCGAAAGCGUGGGGAGCGAACAGG